rnacentral:rRNA from 1 species
UGGGGAAUAUUGGGCAAUGGGCGAAAGCCUGACCCAGCAACGCCGCGUGAAGGAAGAAGGUUUUCGGAUUGUAAACUUCUGUCCUCAGGGAAGAAGGAAGUGACGGUACCUGAGGAGGAAGCCCCGGCUAACUACGUGCCAGCAGCCGCGGUAAUACGUAGGGGGCGAGCGUUGUCCGGAAUGACUGGGCGUAAAGGGCGCGUAGACGGUUUUUUAAGUCUGGAGUGAAAGCCCUGCUUUCAAGGUGGGAAUUGCUUUGGAGACUGGGGGACUUGAGUGCGGAAGAGGUAAGUGGAAUUCCCAGUGUAGCGGUGAAAUGCGUAGAGAUUGGGAAGAACACCAGUGGCGAAGGCGACUUACUGGGCCGUAACUGACGUUGAUGCGCGAAAGCGUGGGGUGCGAACAG